rnacentral:tRNA from 1 species
UCCCAUGUGGUCUUAGUGGUUAGGAUUCUGGCUUUCUAGGCAGCCCGGGUUCGAUUCCCGGCAUGGGAA